rnacentral:rRNA from 1 species
GACGAACGCUGGCGGCGCGCCUAACACAUGCAAGUCGAACGGGAUCUUUUAAGAAGCUUGCUUCUUGGCUGAUCUAGUGGCGGACGGGUGAGUAACACGUGAGCAACCUGCCGAAGAGUGGGGGAUAACGUUUGGAAACGAACGCUAAUACCGCAUAACAAGGAGAGACGGCAUCGCCUUUCCUUCAAAGGAGCAAUCCGCUUUUUGAUGGGCUCGCGCCCGAUUAGAUAGUUGGUGAGGUAACGGCUCACCAAGUCGACGAUCGGUAGCCGGACUGAGAGGUUGAACGGCCACAUUGGGACUGAGACACGGCCCAGACUCCUACGGGAGGCAGCAGUGGGGAAUAUUGCACAAUGGGGGAAACCCUGAUGCAGCGACGCCGCGUGAAGGAAGAAGUAUUUCGGUAUGUAAACUUCUAUCAGCAGGGAAGAAAAUGACGGUACCUGACUAAGAAGCCCCGGCUAAUUACGUGCCAGCAGCCGCAGUAACAC